rnacentral:rRNA from 1 species
UCCAGGCUCCUACGGGAGGCAGCAGUGGGGGAUAUUGCACAAUGGGGGGAACCCUGAUGCAGCGACGCCGCGUGGGUGAAGAAGCGCCUCGGCGCGUAAAGCCCUGUCAGCAGGGAAGAAAAUGACGGUACCUGAAGAAGAAGCCCCGGCUAACUACGUGCCAGCAGCCGCGGUAAUACGUAGGGGGCAAGCGUUAUCCGGAUUUACUGGGUGUAAAGGGGGCGCAGACGGCGAUGCAAGCCAGGAGUGAAAACCCAAGGCUCAACCAUGGGACUGCUUUUGAAACUGUCAAACUAGAGUACGGGAGAGGUAAGAGGAAUUCCUAGUGUAGCGGUGAAAUGCGUAGAUAUUAGGAGGAACACCAGUGGCGAAGGCGGAUUGCUGGACAGUAACUGACGCUGAGGCGCGAAAGCGUGGGGAGCAAACAGGAUUAGAUACCCGCGUA